UACGGAGGGUGCGAGCGUUAAUCGGAAUUACUGGGCGUAAAGCGCGCGUAGGCGGUUAUCUAAGCUAGAUGUGAAAGCCCAGGGCUUAACCUUGGAAUUGCAUUUAGAACUGGGUAACUAGAGUACAGCAGAGGGGUGUGGAAUUUCCGGUGUAGCGGUGAAAUGCGUAGAGAUCGGAAGGAACAUCAGUGGCGAAGGCGACACCCUGGGUUGAUACUGACGCUGAGGUGCGAAAGCGUGGGGAGCAAACAGG
rnacentral:rRNA from 1 species